rnacentral:rRNA from 1 species
CACGUAGGGCGCAAGCGUUGUCCGGAAUUAUUGGGCGUAAAGAGCUUGUAGGCGGUUUGUCGCGUCUGCUGUGAAAUUUCGGGGCUCAACCCCGAACUUGCAGUGGGUACGGGCAGACUAGAGUGUGGUAGGGGAGACUGGAAUUCCUGGUGUAGCGGUGAAAUGCGCAGAUAUCAGGAGGAACACCGAUGGCGAAGGCAGGUCUCUGGGCAUUUCCUGACGCUGAGGCGCGAAAGCGUGGGGAGCAAACGGG